GACGUAGGGCGCGAGCGUUGUCCGGAUUUAUUGGGCGUAAAGAGCGUGUAGGCGGUUUGGUAGGUCCGUUGUGAAAACUCGAGGCUCAACCUCGAGACGCCGAUGGAAACCAUCAGACUAGAGUCCGGAAGAGGAGAGUGGAAUUCCUGGUGUAGCGGUGAAAUGCGCAGAUAUCAGGAGGAACACCGAUGGCGAAGGCAGGUCUCUGGGCAUUAACUGACGCUGAGGAGCGAAAGCAUGGGGAGCGAACAGG
rnacentral:rRNA from 1 species